CUUAAUAUAACAAACCUUAAUUUAUUUUAUAUGACUGAACUGAAAUAUAAAGCACAUACUGGAAGAAGUUCCAAUACGUGAAAAAAUUGGAGACCUUUUCAUUUCAUCAUCUUCUUCUCAAUCUCCUAGUUGGAGUAAAAUCUCAUGGGAUAAUUAUACCACAACUUUGGUUGAUUCGAAGAUUUGGUGGGAUCUCCAAUUUUGGUAGAUGUUGAAUCAGAAAGAUGUGCAGCUUUUAGGGUUGUUGUAAUUGGAUUCAUGGAUCAAAAAGAUUAGGUAUUAAAACAUAUGAUAUUCUUCAUCUUACAAGAAGUUGUCGAUGGAAAACAGAACACGAUACUGGUGUUGUUUGAUCAGGGACAAACAAGAAGGGAUAUAUAUCUUGGGUUUCCCGGUAUAACCAUGUUUCUUAAUACAGACUCAUUCCUUCCUGUCUUGAUAUAUUUGUGUUUUUAAAGAAUAUAUCUUGGGUUUCCUGGUAUAACCAUGUUUCUUAAUAUGGAAUCACUCCUUCCUGUCUUGGUAUAUUUGUGUUUCUAAAGGAUAAUGUUUCGACAGAAGGUACGAAUGUUUGUUGGUUUUUCGUCAGGUUUUUGUUCAUCGUUUGAUUUGCAAGUAUCGUAAAAAGCGGAUUUCCGAUUUUUUUUCUUCGUUUGACAUCCCUGUGGAGAUUUCUUACAAUGGUUAUAGUAGAUUUGGUUAGCCUGGAUAUCUUUGUA